UUUUUAUUUUGUUACGAUAAUCACGUGAUAGCGUAUGUGAAAAAUGGGAAUGAGGUGAGAACCCUCAGCAGCCCCUUUCUUCUGUAUAAUGGACGAAAUCUCAAUAGCCAUCGAAAGAGAAGGCGAGAGAGUAGGAUGAAAUUGAGUCAGAAUACCAUUUUUACAUAAUCUUUUCGA
rnacentral:ncRNA from 2 species